rnacentral:rRNA from 1 species
GAGACAGCAGUCGCCGCGGGAAUACGUAGGGUGCAAGCGUUAAUCGGAAUUACUGGGCGUAAAGCGUGCGCAGGCGGUCUGUCAAGUCAGAUGUGAAAUCCCCGGGCUUAACCUGGGAACUGCAUUUGAAACUGGCAGGCUAGAGUCUUGUAGAGGGGGGUAGAAUUCCAGGUGUAGCGGUGAAAUGCGUAGAGAUCUGGAGGAAUACCGGUGGCGAAGGCGGCCCCCUGGACAAAGACUGACGCUCAGGUGCGAAAGCGUGGGGAGCAAACAGGAUUAGAUACCCGAGUAGUCCCUGUCUCUUAUAC